rnacentral:rRNA from 1 species
CUCAAUUUGAAAUCUGGUACCUUCGGUGCCCGAGUUGUAAUUUGGAGAGGGCAACUUUGGGGCCGUUCCUUGUCUAUGUUCCUUGGAACAGGACGUCAUAGAGGGUGAGAAUCCCGUGUGGCGAGGAGUGCGGUUCUUUGUAAAGUGCCUUCGAAGAGUCGAGUUGUUUGGGAAUGCAGCUCUAAGUGGGUGGUAAAUUCCAUCUAAAGCUAAAUAUUGGCGAGAGACCGAUAGCGAACAAGUACAGUGAUGGAAAGAUGAAAAGAACUUUGAAAAGAGAGUGAAAAAGUACGUGAAAUUGUUGAAAGGGAAGGGCAUUUGAUCAGACAUGGUGUUUUGUGCCCUCUGCUCCUUGUGGGUAGGGGAAUCUCGCAUUUCACUGGGCCAGCAUCAGUUUUGGUGGCAGGAUAAAUCCAUAGGAAUGUAGCUUGCCUCGGUAAGUAUUAUAGCCUGUGGGAAUACUGCCAGCUGGGACUGAGGACUGCGACGUAAGUCAAGGAUGCUGGCAUAAUGGUUAUAU